rnacentral:rRNA from 1 species
CCCUAGGCCUUGUACACACCGCCCGUCACAUCAUGAAAGCCGGCUGUACCCGAAGUCGCCCUUCAAAAGGUGCCGAAGGUAUGGCUGGUGAUUGGGAUG